CGCUAGCGGCAGGCUUACACAUGCAAGUCGAGGGGUACAGGGGAGCUUGCUCCCGCUGACGACGGCGCACGGGUGAGUAACGCGUAUGCAACUUGCCUCUAACUGGGACAUAGCUCCCGGAAACGGGAAUUAAUAUUCCAUAAUAUUACAAAUUCGCAUGUUUUUGUAAUUAAAGCUCCGGCGGUUAGAGAUGGGCAUGCGUGCCAUUAGUUUGUUGGUGAGGUAAAGGCUCACCAAGGCUACGAUGGCUAGGGGGUCUGAGAGGAUGGUCCCCCACACUGGUACUGAGACACGGACCAGACUCCUACGGGAGGCAGCAGUGAGGAAUAUUGGUCAAUGGGCGAAAGCCUGAACCAGCCAUGCCGCGUGCAGGAUGAAUGCCCUACGGGUUGUAAGCUGCUUUUGUACAGGAAGAAACGUUCCGACGUGUCGGGAUUUGACGGUACUGUACGAAUAAGCAUCGGCUAACUCCGUGCCAGCAGCCGCGGUAAUACGGAGGAUGCAAGCGUUAUCCGGAUUUAUUGGGUUUAAAGGGUGCGUAGGCGGAAAAGUAAGUCAGUGGUGAAAUCCUGCGGCUUAACCGUAGAAUUGCCAUUGAUACUGUUUUUCUUGAGUAUAGUUGAGGUGGGCGGAAUGUGUAAUGUAGCGGUGAAAUGCUUAGAUAUUACACAGAACACCAAUUGCGUAGGCAGCUCACUAAACUAUUACUGACGCUGAGGCACGAAAGCGUGGGGAGCAAACAGGAUUAGAUACCCUGGUAGUCCACGCUGUAAACGAUGAUCACUCGUUGUUGGCGAUAUAUUGUCAGUGACCAAGUGAAAGCAUUAAGUGAUCCACCUGGGGAGUACGGUCGCAAGAUUGAAACUCAAAGGAAUUGACGGGGGCCCGCACAAGCGGAGGAACAUGUGGUUUAAUUCGAUGAUACGCGAGGAACCUUACCUGGGCUUAAAUGCAGAACGACCGGCCGGGAAACUGGCCUUUCUUCGGACGGACUGCAAGGUGCUGCAUGGUUGUCGUCAGCUCGUGCCGUGAGGUGUCGGGUUAAGUCCCAUAACGAGCGCAACCCUUAUUGUUAGUUGCCAGCGAGUAAUGUCGGGAACUCUAACGAAACUGCCGGUGUAAACCGUGAGGAAGGUGGGGAUGACGUCAAAUCAGCACGGCCCUUAUGUCCAGGGCUACGCACGUGUUACAAUGGCCAGUACAAAGGGCAGCUACCAUGUAAAUGGAUGCUAAUCUCGAAAACUGGUCUCAGUUCGGAUUGAAGUCUGCAACUCGACUUCAUGAAGCUGGAUUCGCUAGUAAUCGCGCAUCAGCCAUGGUGCGGUGAUACGUUCCCGGGC
rnacentral:rRNA from 1 species